rnacentral:misc_RNA from 1 species
UUGGACCUUUCUACACAAAGUUAUAACUAUUUGAACAUGUACUGUUUAUAUGGUCAAUUUUGUCCAAUGACAGGGUACCUAAUCCGGAUUUAACCAAAUUUUACACCAACUUGUGGUCAGUUUUAGGGCAAGGUUCUACAUGAAAAUUAUUGCUUUGGGUCUUAAUUUUCAUUUUCAAUUGGCCUCACACCAAUUAGAGUAACAGAAUUUCAAUUAUGAUCAUUUAAGUGGACCAUGGUCAGGCUGUCCAGAAUUGGACAUUACCCAUUCACAAUUCACUUUCAAUUUCAAUCAUUCAAUCACACUCCAAAUCACCCCAAUUGACCAAUUUAAGCCUCAAUUAGGUCAAUUGGCAUCAAUUCACCAAACUCCCAAAUUUUCCCCCAAAUUUCCAAUUGCCAAGAAUCCUAAGUGUCCAAUUGCCAAAAUUUCUGAAAUUAAAAUGUACUAAUCACCUAUCCUCAUUCAUCUAAGCAUGGUUACACAUUUACUUGGACUAAUACACCUCAUGUUCUCAUAAAUCUAUGGCUAGCUGAAAUUUAUAAGUUCCCUAACAAGCAUGAUUUUUUAAAUUUUCUCACCCAAAUUCAUCAAAACUAACUCAAUUUCAAUCACCUAAACUAAAGGAGAAGAUUUGAUUCACAUACCUUAAUGAUGCUCUUUUCCAACUUCAAUUUCUUCUUGGUUUUCUUUAAAUUCCUUCUUCCAAACUUCUCCUUGAAGCUUAAUUAAAGGUUUUCUAUCACUUUUGGAGGGGAAAUUAGGGGAUAAAGUAGGGUUUCAAGAGCUCACAAUAGGAUUUUUAAUGGUGGAUUUGGGAGAAAAUGGUGAGAGAGAGAGAGAGGAGAGAGAAGGGACGGCAAUUGUGGGUGGAAGAAGACCAAUUUUGCUUUUAAUUUUUUUUUGUCCUAUUUUUGUAAUAUUUAUCCCUUAAUUUCUUGAAUUAAAAUUGUAAUUUACUUAUGAUGUCAUUGAUGAUGUCAUAAUUUCCAUUUUCUUUUCUUUUCUUUUUCAUUUCUUUCACCAACCUCUUCAUUUCUAAUAUAUUUUUCAUAAUUUUAAUUUCCUACAUUUUAAUGGACAUUUAGGCCAAGAAUCACCUCUAAGGGUGAAUUGACCAAAUUGCCCCUCGCUAGUUCAAUCCGGUUUGCAAGUUAUUCGAUAUUUCUUUCGGAUCCCUGAUCUAAUUAUUUGACAUGCUUAACAAUUCUUUUCUGUGAUUUUCUCUUUUCCACUGUGU